GUACGCCAAAGAGGUCAUGGUCCGGGCAACCCCCGGUGAAAAGGGAACGUGGUGAAAUCCCACGACUGCCCCCGCAACUGUAAACGGCGAGCGUGUUCGGCAUAUGCCACUGGGAAACCGGGAAGGCCCGAUACACGCCCCGACCCGCAAGUCAGGAGACCUGCCGUGACAGAUCACCCUAC
rnacentral:ncRNA from 1 species